rnacentral:lncRNA from 1 species
CAAACCAGUCCCACAGUCCGGCAUCCUAAACUUCAAACUUAGAAUACACUACAAAGAUCUGAAGCCUAAGCUCUGAUACCAACUGUGACAGUUCUCAGGGUCACAUCACGGGGUACCUAUCAGCUUACCACCCGCACGCGGGCAUCCCCUACGGAGAGUUUCGCUUCGUGACUCUUCACGAACGAGAGGCUCGGGGCUUUUCCAGACGAAGGACUUAAAGUCCCAACUGUCGGCAUAUGGCUCUGAUA